GAGCUUGUGUUAUAGAAGCAAAGCUCGAAUCAAGCCCAUAUCGGGCUUAGGCUCGGCUCGUUUACGCUCCUAGUUAUAUUUUUAUUAGAUCCUACUUGAAAAUAACAAUCAAUCUUAUUAUCGUUUGGAAGGUUUAGAAGCUAGCUUAGCAUCAGUUUUGGAAUUAAUGGAAUUUGGAAUUAAUGGAAUUUUGGCAAGGCGCAUGGUUCUGAAGCUACCGUAAUGGAGGAGUUUUUUUGGUCGAUGGCGAAGACAGGGCGGAUCUGUGGCGGCAUCUUCGAGUGUUGUACCCCUACCUACAGAACAAAAGACACAAGGUGCCCGGUGAGGAGGCGUGAGCUACGGUUCUGACAAGACUCUAGUUAACUCCGGCAAUAAUUCUCGACUCCGGUGAAUCUCCGGCGACUUCUCCUGUUAACGAUCUGGGUCAGCAUGUUAUUUAACCUUAAAGAUCGAUGGAUGGCCCAUAUCAUCACAGGUGGAUGGCGAAGGCGGUUGCUGCCACCUGUUUGGCUAAUAAGUUGCAAGUGUGAGUUUAUGGGUCAGGGUCAUACUGCUCAUCGUCUAACUUGCAACACUUUUAUAUUAGUAUGAUGAUGAUAAUUGGAGGUGAUGGUUUCGUUGAUGGGCUAAGAGACAUUAGAACUGGCUACGAGUUACAGUUUACUCACUAGUACAGUAACAAUGUCGCCACCAGCCCACGGAUGAAAAUUUGCAAUACUUUCAAAUCCAAAAGUAGUUUACUCACUAGUACAGUAACAAGGUCGCCACCAGCCUUGAAGAAAACAACCUAGAAAUAGCUAUUAGUUUUAGUGUACAUUUGUUUCUCUUUGUAACUCUUGUAGAUAAAUUUUGCUUAGAAGUUUAUGUCUUCUAUUAGUAUUUAAAUUGAAAACUUAUGUAUGGUUUUUUGGUUUGUUUUAUAAAUUGU